UCCAGACUCCUACGGGAGGCAGCAGUGGGGAAUAUUGCACAAUGGGGGAAACCCUGAUGCAGCGACGCCGCGUGAGUGAAGAAGUAAUUCGUUACGUAAAGCUCUAUCAGCAGGGAAGAAAAUGACGGUACCUGAGUAAGAAGCCCCGGCUAACUACGUGCCAGCAGCCGCGGUAAUACGUAGGGGGCAAGCGUUAUCCGGAAUUACUGGGUGUAAAGGGAGCGUAGACGGUGAUGCAAGUCUGGAGUGAAAGGCGGGGGCCCAACCCCCGGACUGCUCUGGAAACUGUGUAACUUGAGUGCAGGAGAGGUAAGCGGAAUUCCUAGUGUAGCGGUGAAAUGCGUAGAUAUUAGGAGGAACACCAGUGGCGAAGGCGGCGUACUGGACUGUAACUGACGUUGAGGUUCGAAAGCGUGGGGAGCAAACAGGAUUAGAUACCCCUGUAUAA
rnacentral:rRNA from 1 species